GCAGUAGCCACGGUAAUACAGAGGGUGCGAGCGUUAAUCGGAUUUACUGGGCGUAAAGCGUGCGUAGGCGGCUAAUUGAGUCGGAUGUGAAAUCCCCGAGCUUAACUUGGGAAUUGCAUUCGAUACUGGUUAGCUAGAGUGUGGGAGAGGAUGGUAGAAUUCCAGGUGUAGCGGUGAAAUGCGUAGAGAUCUGGAGGAAUACCGAUGGCGAAGGCAGCCAUCUGGCCUAACACUGACGCUGAGGUACGAAAGCAUGGGGAGCAAACAGGAUUAGAUACCCCCGUAGUCCCUGUCUCUUAUAC
rnacentral:rRNA from 1 species